CCUACGGGUGGCUGCAGUGAGGAAUAUUGGUCAAUGGGCGCGAGCCUGAACCAGCCAAGUCGCGUGAGGGAAGACGGUCCUAUGGAUUGUAAACCUCUUUUGUCGGGGAGCAAAAGACGCCACGCGUGGCGUUCCGAGAGUACCUGAAGAAAAAGCAUCGGCUAACUCCGUGCCAGCAGCCGCGGUAAUACGGAGGAUGCGAGCGUUAUCCGGAUUUACUGGGUGUAAAGGGGGCGCAGACGGCGAUGCAAGCCAGGAGUGAAAGCCCGGGGCCCAACCCCGGGACUGCUCUUGGAACUGCGUGGCUGGAGUGCAGGAGGGGCAGGCGGAAUUCCUGGUGUAGCGGUGAAAUGCGUAGAUAUCAGGAGGAACACCGGUGGCGAAGGCGGCCUGCUGGACUGCAACUGACGUUGAGGCCCGAAAGCGUGGGGAGCAAACAGGAUUAGAUACCCUGGUAGUC
rnacentral:rRNA from 1 species